UCGGUCGGUUGAGAAGAUCUAGGAUGUAACACAUUUCUGUUUAAUAUUAUGUGAUUGGGGCUCUAACAGACGAGUGGAAUAGACGUGUGGAAUAGACGUGGAUAGCUGUUGUGUGUAUUUGUUGUGCUUGGGGGUACUUUUAACUUUAUUUCCCCUCAUGUGCAUUUUCUUCACACCCGACAAGUUGUUCAAAAAAAACCAGCUUGCUGAGGGAGUACACUAGUGGUUCCGGUACCUGGAAGCUCUCCUGUGGAAAGUGUCGACCAUGGCCUUAUCAAGGGCUCUCAUCUGCCCUUUGUUGCUGAUUGCAUUGUUACAUUGUGUUCAAUCUCAAAACAAACCACCAAAGAUUACGGAACCAGAGGCAUCACAGACUUUUGAUGUUAGCACAACUGAUGAUGCACCGUUUGUCUUAGAAUGCAAGGCGGAAGGGGAACCUAAACCCCAAUACCGCUGGGAGUUUAAUGGGGGAUCCGGCAGAGGGAGUAGCUUUUGCUUCAGAUCCAAUCACUGGAAAAUUGACUAUCACCGGCUUCACAGACCGAGAGGAAGGAAGUUACCAAUGUUUUGCUGAGAAUGAGAUAUCCACCGGCAUCAUUGCAGCUGCUAUGUCCCCUGUCAUCACGCUGCGUGAAAUCAAGAUGGGAGAUAGUUGGCCAGAUCCCCAGAUCAGAGAAGCAAAAGUUAAUGAAGGGUUUUACCUGAAGCUUGAGUGUGAAAAUCAGCCUAUAUCUGUCCCCACAGCUGAAUAUACAUGGUACUUAGUGUCUGGAAGUGAAACAAAGGCAGAUGUUAAACAUUCUGACAGGAUAUAUACUGAC